UACGUAGGGUGCGAGCGUUAAUCGGAAUUACUGGGCGUAAAGCGUGCGCAGGCGGUUUUGUAAGACAGGUGUGAAAUCCCCGGGCUUAACCUGGGAACUGCGUUUGUGACUACAAGACUAGAGUGUAGCAGAGGGGGGUAGAAUUCCACGUGUAGCAGUGAAAUGCGUAGAGAUGUGGAGGAACACCGAUGGCGAAGGCAGCCCCCUGGGUUAACACUGACGCUCAGGCACGAAAGCGUGGGGAGCAAACAGG
rnacentral:rRNA from 1 species